rnacentral:misc_RNA from 1 species
GGAUGAAGAACGCAGCAAAAUGCGAUAAGUAAUGUGAAUUGCAGAAUUCAGUGAAUCAUCGAAUCUUUGAACGCACAUUGCGCCCGCCAGUAUUCUGGCGGGCAUGCCUGUCUGAGCGUCAUUUCAACCCUCAUGCCCCUAGGGCGUGGUGUUGGGGAUCGGCCAAAGCCCGCGAGGGACGGCCGGCCCCUAAAUCUAGUGGCGGACCCGUCGUGGCCUCCUCUGCGAAGUAGUGAUAUUCCGCAUCGGAGAGCGAUGAGCCCCUGCCGUUAAACCCCCAACUUUCCAAGGUUGACCUCAGAUCAGGUAGGAAUACCCGCUGAACUUAAGCAUAUCAAUAAGCGGAGGA